ACCUGUGUGUGUGUGUGUGUGUGUGUGUGUGUGUGUGUGUGUGUGUGUAUGCGCAUGCAUGCGCAUGCUCAAUGAACCGCUCUGUUUCAGG
rnacentral:miRNA from 1 species